rnacentral:lncRNA from 1 species
AAUGUUCAUUUACUCAGCAAAUAUUUAUUGAAUGUCUGCUCUUUUCAACGACUGUUCUGGGUGCUGGGCAGGCAGUAGUUAAAAUAAAAAGAUAAAUUUAUUGCUAUUGUGGAAAUUACAUUUUGGAGUAAUUACAUUUUAGUGAGGAGACAGACAAUAAACCAACAGAUGAAUAAACAAAUGCAUGUGUAUGGGGGGCGAAUUAUGGCUAAAUAUCAUAAAGAAAAGGAGAAGGUGAGAGAGAAAGUCAGGAUAGACCUCUUGAGGGGGUGAUAUUUGAAUACAGAGAUAAUUUAAGAAAAUGAGAAAGCAAGUCUUCUGGGUAUCUGGGAAGAGUGGUUUAAGCAAUUGCAAAGACUUGGGGAGAUAGCCAGAUGUGUGUGUUCAAAGAACAUCAAGUGGGCCAAAGUGACGGGGAUGAGAAAGGAAGGCAAGAGUGGUAGGGAGGAGGUGAGUCAGAGGGGCAGCAUGGGGACCAAGAGUCUGUAGGGCCUUGAGGGACUCUGUGAAGUCUUUAGAUUUAAUUCUCAGUGCAACAGGAAGCAAUGGGAGAGUUUUGAGCUAGGGAAUGCUCAAACUAACUCUGUGAAAGAUGGCUCAGAGUACUGGUAGAGUACGUACUGUAGUAGAGGGAUGAGGGAGGCAGGAUGGCUGUCAGGUGGCUGGUAUAGCAGUCCAGAGGAGACAUUGGAGACCUCCACAGAGCUGUUGCAGAGGAAGUGGAGAGAAGUAGCAAUAAUUUGGGUAUGUUUUGAAAGUAGAAUUAUAGGGAUUUUCUGAUGGAUUAAAAGUGGGGUAUGAAAGAAAGAGGAUUUUUGUGGAGAUGGUGAUGUUGUACAUUGAGAUGGAGAGCAUUAGGAAAAGAGGGUGUUGAAGUGAAAAUCAAGAAUUCGGUUUUGGAUACAGUAAGUUUGAGGUGCAUACUAGAUAUUUAAGUAAAGAUAUUGAGCAGACACUGGUUACAUGAAUUACAAUUAAAAGGAGAGGUUGAGCCUGACAUUAUCAAUUUGAAAGCCGUCAUUGUGGUAUGAAAUUACAUAUUUAUCUAUUUUUUGUAUCUUUCUCCCCCUGAAAAUGUAACUUUCAAGAGGACAGAAGACUAAUUUGUUUUGUUCUUUAACAGCUGUUUAAACAUUGGUUGGAACAUAGAAAGUGCCCAAGAAAUGCUGAAUGAAUGAAAAAUUAAAUGUUAGUUCAAGCCAGUAUAAACAUAAAUAAAAAAGAGGCUGUCAUAAGUGCUAAAGGCUGGCACGGUACAAGAGUUGAGUGAUCACCCUGUGCUUCAGUGGUCAAGGAAAUAGUCUUGGAGAAGACUGUCCAUUAUUAGAUAUCAAAGAAUGGGUAAAAGGAGUUAGAAUAGGUGUCGGAUUUGGGGGAAAAUGCUGGAUUUGACGUAGGAUAUACUGAACUUGAUGUGACAAUAGAACAUUUGAAUUCAGUAAAAAGACAUUUAAGUUAUUAAUAGGUUUAUAAAUAGUUUGAGAUCUGCAAUUGCAAAGGACAGACACUGGCACUCCUCCUUUCUGAAAAUAGAACCCACAAAGCUACAUUAGGACAUUGGACUCUAAAUGUGUAACAGGAAAGUAAAUAGGAAGAUUGAGACACCAAGAAACAGUUGAAAGGACUUCAAAAGCAGGGCUUCUCAAAAUGUAAUGUGCAUGCGAAUCACCUGGAGAGCUCCCUAAAAUGCAGAUUUUGAUUUUGUAGGUCUGGGCUGGGGCCUGAGCUUUUCUAACAAGCUCCCAGGUGAUGCCAAUGCUGCCCAUCCCGGGCCCACAUUUUGAUUAGCCAGGUACUCAAGUGAGGUGUUAAACAAAAAUGAAAAAUUUUCCAAGAAAAUAACCAAAAACCAGUUAUGUGUCAGGUUUCACUAUACCCCUCAUUGACCUUGAGAAUAAAAAAGAAUUGGGUUGUGGGGCAUCAGAGGAAACUUAUUUAGACAAGACUUAUUUGUAGAAAGCUGCUAGUGGGAUGGAAGUAGAGGUGCAAUGUAUAAGGUGUAUUCCCUUCAUCUCAAGUCAAGAGAGAGAACGUCAGGGGGACUCCAAUAGCAUAAGUACCAUCUACAAUGGGAGAAACAAAGUGGAUUGAGGUAUGACAGGGAAUACAAAGGGUGAGACCCAGGCUGGUCAACUGUCCUCUGACAAGUUGAAGCAGCUGCUUAGUAAUCACCCUGUUCACCCAAUUUAUCAGGGCAAAUAAAAUGUAACAGGUCAGAAAACAGGUUAGUAGGCAGGAGGAGAGAUAGAAGGGAAAGACUGCAGGAAGCUCUAACUUAGGAAGGUAGAGAAAAUUUACCUUUAAAUCAAGUUUGGAGUCUAGAUUAUUAUAUGGAACUAGGAUAAUAAUUUCUGAAUUAAAAUUCUAUGGUUUAUUUUUAAAUGACCAUAGGAUCUUUUAUUACCUAUCAGUGAUCAUAAAGUAAUUUACUGAGUAAGUCUUCAUCCAAGGACACAGAAGAUUUCUCCCACUGAGAAAACUUUAAAGAGACAGUAGGAAACAAAGGAAAAUUGGUUUAUGGUUAUGCCCAUAAGUUCUGCUCAUUCCAUAUUUUUGUGAUAAGUGGAUUCAAGGGAGAGGAAGAAAGUCAGCCUUGGAUCUGCAUAUCAGCUACAAUAUGCCCUUCAAUAAUUUUCUCAUUCAGUUCCUUUGUCUGACACCACAAAGCAAAAUAAGAUUAUUUUCUAGGUGCUAAUCCUCUCAGAAAUCUUGGACAACCCAUUGCUGCUAACACUGCCCCUGUAGAUUAGCCCCACUGUGUCUGUGCUCACACUGUGCGCAGUUCAGAGCUUGCCCUUUUGUAAGAGACUUGCUAGUUCACUUCGCUUUGGACAGACAACUGCAGUGAAAGAAACUGCCACUCCCAGGUCUCACUGCAGCCACAACACUAUCAGACAUUUUCAUAUCCUGUGCACGUCAGAGGAAGGGCUGUCAAAAGACAAAAAAAAAAUUAUAUCAAAUUUAGUUAAACAUCUUAAUUAGCUUUUGUGAUUUAUAAUCGGACAACACCUCAUUCUUUAAAAUAGAAUGAGUGUUCCAUAGAGCUAAGCAGAGGAGGUUGGCUUUAUAGAAAGAAUAAGGGCUGGGGAAAGCAGAAACAGAGAACAGAAUGUGGAUUGUUCUUUUCAGUUGCUUUCCUUGUAAAGAUUAAAGCAGAGAGGACCUCCUUAAUCCUAGCUAAAAUUAACUUGUUUGGGGAUUUGGCUAUUUAAUUUUUUUUCCCUUGAGAUAGCGGAUGGAGCUGCCUGCCAAGUCCUGUGCCGAGCGCCUGCACUCCUCAGUCCUUGGGUGGUCAAUGGGACCUGGUGCUGCGGAGCAGGGGCGGCUCUCGUCAGGGAGGCUUGGCCGCUGGGAGCCCACCGCGGGUGGACUCAGGCAAGGCGGGCUGCAGGUCCCUAGCCCUGCCCGGCGGGGAGGCGGCUGAGGCGCUGCGAGAAUUCGAGCGUGGGGCAGGCAGGCCGGCAGUGCUGGGGUACCCGGCGCCCCCUCCGCAGCUGCCACUGAGCCCACUCCCACUCGGAACACAUGCUGGCCUGCCAUCGCUGUGCGCAGCCCCAGUUCCCGCCUGCGGCCUCUCCCUCCACACCUCCCUGCAAGCAGAGGGAGCCGGCUCCGGCCUCGGCCAGCCCAGAGAGGGGCCCCCACAGCGCAGUGGAGGGCUGAAGGGCUCCUCAAGCAUGGCCAGACCGGACGCCGAGGCAGAGAAGGCGCUGAGAGUGAGCGAGGGCUGCCAGCACGUUGUCACCUCUCACUUCCACUUCUCCAUCACCCACAGUCACCCUCAGGUUUCAU